CCUGUUCCAAGAUGAGAUCACCCACCGGGUAAACCGGGUAAGGCCCGUGGCAGACUACCACGUUGAUAGGCCGGAAGUGUAAGCGCGGCAACGCGUUCAGCUGACCGGUACUAAUCGGCCGAGGGCUUGGG
rnacentral:rRNA from 1 species